rnacentral:misc_RNA from 1 species
AAAUGCGAUAAGUAAUGUGAAUUGCAGAAUUCAGUGAAUCAUCGAAUCUUUGAACGCACCUUGCGCUCCUUGGUAUUCCUUGGAGCAUGCCUGUUUGAGUAUCAUGAAAUCUUCAAAGUAAAUCUUUUGUUAACUCAAUUGGUUUCUACUUUGGUAUUGGAGGUCUUUGCAGCUUCACACCUGCUCCUCUUUGUUCAUUAGCUGGAUCUCAGUGUUAUGCUUGGUUCCACUCGGCGUGAUAAGUUAUCUAUCGCUGAGGACACUGUAAAAGGUGGCCAAGGUAAAUGCAGAUGAACCGCUUCUAAUAGUCCAUUGACUUGGACAAUACUUUUAUGAUCUGAUAUCCAAUCAGGUAGGACUACCCGCUGAACUUAAGC